AUUGAACGCUGGCGGCAUGCCUUACACAUGCAAGUCGAACGGUAACAGGUCUUCGGAUGCUGACGAGUGGCGAACGGGUGAGUAAUACAUCGGAACGUGCCUAGUAGUGGGGGAUAACUACUCGAAAGAGUGGCUAAUACCGCAUGAGAUCUACGGAUGAAAGCAGGGGAUCGCAAGACCUUGUGCUACUAGAGCGGCCGAUGGCAGAUUAGGUAGUUAGUGGGAUAAAAGCUUACCAAGCCGACGAUCUGUAGCUGUUCUGAGAGGACGAUCAGCCACACUGGGACUGAGACACGGCCCAGACUCCUACGGGAGGCAGCAGUGGGGAAUUUUGGACAAUGGGCGCAAGCCUGAUCCAGCAAUGCCGCGUGCAGGAUGAAGGCCUUCGGGUUGUAAACUGCUUUUGUACGGAACGAAAAGCCCCGGGUUAAUACCCUGGGGUCAUGACGGUACCGUAAGAAUAAGCACCGGCUAACUACGUGCCAGCCGCCGCGGUAA
rnacentral:rRNA from 1 species